AGGUAUACUGUGGCUGUCGGGUGGGACAGAAGAAUAAAUGUGUCUUUUGUCCAGGAUUCCCCUUGGAGCCCCCAGGAAGCACCAGUAGGCAUCUUCCCACAAAAGAGGAUUUCGUCAUCAUCAUAAAAUGGUCAUUUUGUUGUCCCAAAAGUGGGUUUCAGUACCCGGUAUGCAAUGAGCCAAUCUCACACAUGGAGACGAGAUAUUGUUCAUUACAAAGUUGCUCAAGUUUGGGUGCUAGGUGGUAACUCCACAAAGCUAGCACACCUCAGUAUUCUCCAGAGUUCCUUUUAUAUACAUUAUCAUCGGUUGGUAGGUUUCUGCAGACUUCCCUCUACUACCGUUUGGUUGGUAAUUUGCAUAUGGUUACACUAUGUCUAUUCUUAUUACUCAUGCUCUAUGAGUAAGGGUCUCUGCCUGGGCCAGGGUCUCCUGCCCAGUGGGUGUGAUUUUUAGUAUUAUAAUAAGGGUAGUUUGCUGAAGGACACAGUUCAGCUAACUAUCCAAAAUUAAGUAUAAACAUGAUAAUUGUGUUAGUUAGUUGACAUAUUUUCCAGGAUGUUUCUCCUUCAAGGACAGUCAGCUCCUGAUUAGAAGUUCUCUAACUCAUUGCUUCUAAUAACUUCAAGGACAGUCAUCCUGGUCCCAGACAUUGUGUACGUGUUUGGUUUUCUUAGUAUGUGCAACAUCUAACUUCACUAAAUUCUUCAUAAAUUUUUAACCCUCUACUUGCUUAGAUAACAAUUUGUUGGAACCAAAUGGCUUCAACAAACUGGGCAAUGUUGGGAAUGGGACUGAAUGGGAAAGAAAAAGCUUGUAAUUAUUUGCUGGCUAUUCUGGGACACUCUUCUCGCUUGCUUCCUCUUUAAAGGAAGAAGUAGCUCAUUUUAUCCAACAUUGGGGAAAAAAAGAGUCAGAAACUUCUUUACCAUCAGUGAAGUGGAUUUCCCAUUUUCUGGCCAGCUCUUUUUGCCAGUAGGGCCGUGUAGCCCGCAUAGCGCUGACCUUCCCGUCCCCCGAGCAGGGAGCAUGUGUCGGGCCAGGGAGGACAAAUCUCUUCUGGCAGUGGCCAAACCAGCCUCUCCCUUGCCGGUCUCCUCGGUCCAGGACUCGGCGGAUGAGCUCCGUCGCGCUCAGAAAGCUCAGCCCUUUGGCAGGAUGACAUAAUAAGGAUCCGCCUUGAGUCUGUAUUUCAAAUACAUUAUUUAAUGAGAGCAGUAAGUUAUGGCAUAGUGUAAGUCAGCAUGGCACAACAGAUAAAUAGUUGGUCCUGAUUUAAUUCAGGCAAAUGAGAUUUUCACGUUAAACUGUUAAUUCAAUCUUAGCGUCGCAUAGUCCUCGGUCACCAGUUUUCGUAAGGUCUAGGAGGAGAAGUCAGAGACAGAAAUAAUCUGAACCUGGGGAGAGCUGGGCUGCGUGGCUGUGAACUGAGAUGGGAGGUGGAAAGCGGGUGGCACCAACCUUGCGGCAGGGUUGGGCUUAUGUGGACGGUCUGGCAAAGCCGAAGAACCUGCUGAAUGAAAGGGAAGGGUGAGCGCUUUUUCUUUCGUGGCUUUUCUCUGCUUCCACCCAUCCCCGUGGCUACAAAGAAGAUUUCCUGUGUGUUGUUAAGAGAGGUUGAAAUGGUUGGCUUUGACUUUUAUGGGGUUACUUCUGGCCCAGAUUAUUUACAGAUUAUAAACAUCAUUUGAAGGGUUUUUCUAAAGGAAAACAAAACUGCUUUUGUUCUGAAAAUGCUGAAACAGCCUCUUUUAGAGACUUGCUGGGCUAUGUUACCAAGGUGUCGCCCCAAAGUGAAACCUUAGUAAAAGCCGUCAUUCAGCAGCCUGCUUUGCAUUUCAGCAGACUCAAGUUUUCCAGUGUAAAAUGUUUCCAUCUUUCUUUGACUAGCUGUGCUGAAAGCCAUCAAUGGUGAUACCUGAUACCAACAGCAGCCUUGUGAGGCUGUGGAGGGGCAGCUCCUAUAAAUGCCUAUCAGUACAUUAGAACUGCUUCAGAAAAAGGCAAAGGUGGGGGGUUUAUUACUAUAAUUUCAACACAGCAACAGGGGGGCAUCUUGCUGUGUCAACAUGAUGUAUUUUAUUCAUUUAACAUCAUUCAUUACAGAAAAGUAAUUCUGAAUUGUGUAAUUUAAGUAAUUCUUAAAUUCCUUUGCAUUUAGCUGGCUUACAGUGAACGUACAAACAUUUUUCUUCCUUUUGCUUUCCAA